rnacentral:rRNA from 1 species
GUGACGUUUUUGACAGAAAGCAAUGAUUUCGCCGAUAAAUCUUGGGAUUUAAUCAAAGUUUGUGACUGAAUAAAAUAUUUGCAAAUAAAGAUUCAUCAGUGAAAUUAUUCUGUUGGAAAAUAUUGAAUAUGGAAUUUGGAAGAUUGUCCAAGGUUUUUUCGUUUUAAAAAUAUUAAAAAUUCCAAUUUUUAUAAGCGAUUAUUUCUUAGGUUGUUUUAUGAUUUUGAAAUAUUUCAAUUCGUUUUAUUUUGAAAAUUUUCACUUGUACUUUAAAAAAACAAAAUAUAAUUUUCUCCAAGGAUUUUCUCGGUUAGAAGUUGGUUUAUGGAUUUGAUAUUUUUUAUUGUUAAUUUUAAUGAAUUGUUUGCAGAUCCAAAUGCUAUAUUAGUAUCCAGGACCGGCGGAUACUUUAGAAGGGACUGGGUUCAAAAUUUGCGAAGUGUUGAAAAAACAAAAGUACAUUUAAAUAAUUUCUUAUAAAAUAUUACAACCGAUAUUUCUUCUUUCUAUAAGUCACCGGGAAACCAAAGUCUUUGGGUUCCGGGGGAAGUAUGGUUGCAAAGCUGAAACUUUAAGGAAUUGACGGAAGGGCACCACAAGGAGUGAAGCCUGCGGCUUAUUUUGACUCAACACGGGAAAUCUCACCCGGUCCGGACACUGUGAAGAUUGACAGAUUGAUAGCUCUUUCUUGAUUCGGUGGGUGGUGGUGCAUGGCUGUUCUUAGUUCGUGGAGCGAUUUGUCAGGUUAAUUCCGAUAACGAACGAGACUCUGACUUACUAAAUAGUGAAUUUAUAUCCAAUUGUAAAUUCUCACUUCUUAAAAGAAUAAAUAGCAUUUAGCUAUAUGAAAUAGAGCAAUAACAGAUCUGUGAUGCCCUUAAAUGUUCGGGGCCGCACGCGCGCUACAAUGGCAGUACUAACAAGUUUUCCUAACUAGAAAUAGUCGGGUAAUCUCUUAAAACACUGUCGUAUCAGGGAUUGUGAAUUGAAAUUAUUUCACAUGAACGAGUAAUUCCUAGUAAGCGCAAGUCACUAGCUUGCGCUGAUUACGUCCCUGCCCUUUGUACAAAUCGCACGUCGCUACUACCGAUUGAAUGGUUUAGUGAGAUUGUUGGAUUCUGAUCUAAGAAAUGGUAACAUUUCUAUGAAUGGGAAAGACACUCAAACUUGAUCAUUUAGAGGAACUAAAAGUCGUAACAAGGUUUCCGUAGGUGAACCUGCGGAAG